rnacentral:rRNA from 1 species
UGAGAAUGCCGGUAUGAGUAGCGAAAGAAGGGUGAGAAUCCCUUCCACCGAAUAUCUAAGGUUUCCUGAGGAAGGCUCGUCCGCUCAGGGUUAGUCGGGACCUAAGCCGAGGCCGAUAGGCGUAGGCGAUGGACAACAGGUAGAGAUUCCUGUACCAGUGCUAAUUGUUUAACCGAUGGGGUGACACAGAAGGAUAGGGAAUCGCACGAAUGGAAAUGUGCGUCCAAGCAGUGAGUGUGAGAAGUAGGCAAAUCCGCUUCUCGCGAAGCAUGAGCUGUGAUGGGGAAGGAAAUAAAGUACGGAAGUUCCUGAUUUCACGCUGUCAAGAAAAGCCUCUAGGAAGAGUAGUACUGCCCGUACCGCAAACCGACACAGGUAGAUGAGGAGAGAAUCCUAAGGUGAGCGAGAGAACUCUCGUUAAGGAACUCGGCAAAAUGACCCCGUAACUUCGGGAGAAGGGGUGCUCUAUUAGGGUGCAAGCCCGAGAGAGCCGCAGUGAAUAGGCCCAGGCGACUGUUUAGCAAAAACACAGGUCUCUGCAAAACCGUAAGGUGACGUAUAGGGGCUGACGCCUGCCCGGUGCUGGAAGGUUAAGAGGAGUGCUUAGCUUCGGCGAAGGUA